GUAGCUCAAGUGUAUUGUUUUUGCAAAUUGGAUUUCACUAGUACAAUGAGCUCAGGCUAACGACAGAGUAUGAAUCAAAGAGGGCUGUAUCUAGUUCUGGAACUUUCUAGAAAAAAAAACGACGAAAUUCAAGAAGAAUUUAUUUCAGUUCCAUACCAUCAAUACACGGAGAACUUAGGAAUGAUUUUCAAGGCUCUGGAAAAGACAUAAGUCUAGAAUUCGGAAAAGUCUGGAAUUUACGAAAUCAAAUGUAAGGACUGCGAUGCAAAAUACUAAGGACAUACAAAAAGUACUAUUGAAAUAAGAUAAAAGGAACACUUGGCACACUUAAAACAUGGAAGACCUGAAAAAUCAGCAGUCGCCCAUUAUAUUUUGCAACAAAACCCUUCCAUAAACUCAAGUUCAUUGAGAUCAGUUCAACAAGUUAACAACAACAGGCAUCUAGAUGCCUAUGAGAGUGUGGCCAUGAGUAA